rnacentral:rRNA from 1 species
AGCAGCCGCGGUAAUUCCAGCUCCAAUAGCGUAUAUUAAAGUUGUUGCAGUUAAAAAGCUCGUAGUUGAAUUUCGGGGCCAGUAGGUCGGUCGUGCCACUGGUAUGAACUGGUCUCACUGGUCCCUCCCUCUUGAAGAACCGUGAUGCCAUUAAUUUGGUGUUGCGGGGAAACAGGACUGUUACUUUGAAAAAAUUAGAGUGCUUAAAGCAGGCUUACGCUUGAAUACAUUAGCAUGGAAUAACGAAAUAGGACGAUCGAUUCUAUUUUGUUGGUUUCUAGGGUCGACGUAAUGAUUAAUAGGGAUAGUUGGGGGCAUUAGUAUUCAAUUGUCAGAGGUGAAAUUCUUGGAUUUAUUGAAGACUAACUACUGCGAAAGCAUUUGCCAAGGAUGUUUUCAUUAAUCAAGAACGAAAGUUAGGGGAUCGAAGACGAUCAGAUACCGUCGUAGUCUUAACCAUAAACUAUGCCGACUAGGGAUCGGAUGAAGUUAAUUUUUAAUGACUCAUUCGGCGCCUUAC